rnacentral:lncRNA from 1 species
UGCAAAUAUGUUCUUAUAUCAUUACCUUUUCUUUUCUAUAUUUUAAAUUUCUCAAUAUGUUUGUUAUAUUACUGCGUGAAAUACUUGAGACCAAUAAGCUGGUAGGACCAAACUUUGAUGACUGGUAUAGAAAUUUGAGAAUUCUUCACAUGCAUGAAAAGCUCAUUGAUGUCAUCGAUAAUCUUGCAGAGAUAAUCCCGUCGGAGAAUGAUAUUCAAGGCACCAAGGUUAAUCUGAAACACUUGGAAGAAGGCAUUGCUAUUAAACACAUCAUUCUCGCUUCUAUGAGUUCUGAACUCCAGAGGAAACAUCAUUAUAAGGAUCCAACUGCAAUAAUUGAAUAUCUUAAGAAGAUGAUUGAUACACAAUUGGACAUUGAAAACUCUCUAGUUGCACCCCAUGUCAAUCAUAUGAUUGUUCUUACCGAAGAACAUGAGAAGUUGGGGUAAUAUCUCGGUAAAGAUCUUUCUGAAGAUUUGAUCUUGCAAUCAGUACAUGAUGCUGAAUGUUUUCACUGUAAGAAGAAAGGGCAUUGAAAGAGAAACUACAAGGAGCAUCUUGCAACUCUAAAGAAUAAGAAACAAGGUGAGACAUUAAUGAAAAAUAUUUUCAAGAUUUCUUUAGCUACUACUAAUUAUUCACUGUGGGUAUUAGAUACUGGUAGUGGUUAUAACAUAUGCAAUAUAUUUCAAGGGUUCAAGAUAAGUAGGAAGCUCAAGAAAGGAGAAGUUAAUCUACAAGUUAGAAAUGGUGCAAAAGUUGCGUCACAGUUGUAGGAUCAAAUUCUUUAAUAAUGCCUACGGGAAAAGUACUCAUGUUGGAUGAUUAUUAUUAAGUUGCUAAAUUUGUUUCGAACAUAAUUUCAGCUUCUAUGUUAGACAAACAUGAUUUUCGCAUUAUUAUAGGCAAUGGUAAUUUAUAUGUGAAUGGCUAUCUCCAACAUGGUGUUUAUAUCUUACCUAAUGUGAAUGCUAAUUUUAUUAAGCAUGUUUCAGGUCUUAAGAGGAAAAGAGAUGAUCAUGUAUAUUAUACAUACCUUUGGUAUUGUAGGCUUGGCCAUAUUGGACAGAAAAUAAUUAACAAGUUGUACAAGGAACGAUACCUUUACAACUAUGAUUUUGAAUCAUAUCCAACUUGUGAAUCUUGCCUCAACGGAAAAAUGACCAAAUCUCCAUUUACUAGAAUUGGAAAAAGAGCUUGUGAAUUAUUAGGACUAAUUUAUACAGAUGUUUGUGAGCCAAUGAAAAUUCAAGCAAGAGGUGGAUAUUCUUACUUCAUCACCUUCACUGAUGAUAUGUCAAGAUAUGGAUUUGUGUAUCUUAUGAAACAUAAGUCUGAAUCUUUUGAAAUGUUCAAAAGGUUCCAUAGUGAAUUUGAAAGGCAGACUGGUAAAAGUAUCAAAAUAUUAAGAUCCGAUAGAAGUGGAGAAUAUCUUAGUGAAAGUUUUGCCAGAUAUCUCAAAGUGAAUGGAAUUCUCUCACAGUGGAUACCUCCAGGAACACCACAACACAAUGGUGUGUCUGAAAGGAGAAAUAGAACCUUAUUAGAUAUGGUGAGAGCUAUGAUGGGGUUCACUAAUCUUCCAAUAAAUUUAUGGGGAUAUGCUUUGGAAGCAGCAACAUACUUACUUAAUAAAGUUCCCACUAAGUCAGUCCGGUAAGAUCUAUGAUGGGGUUUACUGAUCCUCCAAUAAAUUUAUGGGAUAUGUUUUGGAAGCAGAAACACACUUACUUAAAGUUCCUACUAAGUCAGUCUCUACAACACCAAAUGAGAUAUGGAAAGGAUGUAAGCCUGGCCUUAAACAUAAUAAAGUUUGGGGUUGUUCAGCUUAUGUUAAGAAACUGCAGUCUGGUAAAGUUGACUCAGGAUCUGAUAAGUGUAGGUUCAUUGGGUAUCCCAUGGGAAUAAUGAGAUAUUAUUUCUAUCACCCUUCUGACCAGGAAAUAUUUGUGGCAAGACAAGCAACCUUUUUAGAAAGGGAAUUUCUUUUAGAAGAAAAUUAUAAUGGAGAAACAGAACUUGAUGAAGUUCAAGAAAUUAAUGAAUCAACACAAGAUAAAUAUCAUGAGACCCAAGUUGAAGAACCUUUAUUGGAUGUUUUGAAGUUGCCAAGAAAGUUGCCAUCUUUAACAGUUGAAGUUCAAGAACUAAAAGAAGUUCAAGAACAAGUUAAUGAACUAGUUCCAAACCAAAUUGAACAAUAACCAAAUCCAGCACAAGGUGAACAGGUUGUACAAGUACAUCUUAGAAGGCCUACAUUAGAACGUUAUGUACAACCUAGAUUAAAUUUAAUGGUACAAGAUAAUGUAUCAAAUGAGGUUGAUCAUAAUGAUGAUGACCCUAAUACCUAUGAAGAGGCUAUACAAAGUUCUGAUUAUGAGACGUGGCAAAAGGCCAUGAAAUCCGAAAUGGUAUCCAUGAAGGAAAAUAAAGUAUGGACUUCAGUUGAUGCAAAAGGCCAUAGAAUCCGAAAUGGAAUCUAUGAAGGAAAAUAAAGUAUGGACUUUAGUAGAACCUUCAAAGUAUAUAAACCUAUAGGUUGUAAAUGGAUUUUUAAGAAAAAUAUUAGAGCAGACGGAAAAGUGGAGACCUACAAAGCCAGUCUUGUUGCCAAGGGAUAUCAUCAGAAAGAAGGAGUCGGCUACGACGAGACGUUCCCUCCCAUGGCAAUGAUCAUAUCUAUUCGCAUUUUUCUUGCUAUAGCAGCAUACUAUGAUUAUAAAAUAUGGAAAAUGUAUGUGAAACAACUUUCCUUAAUGGUGAGAUAGAAGAGGAUGUGUACAUGACACAACCUGAAGGUUUCACAUCAUCGUCAGAUCAUAAUAAAAUUUGUAAACUACAAAGAUCCAAUUAUGGAUUAAAGCAAACUUCUCGAAGUUGGAAUAUUCGCAAGCUACAAAGAUCCAUUUAUGGACCAAAGCAAGCUUCUCGAAGUUAGAAUAUUUGCUUUAACAAGACAAAUGAAAAGUUCAAUUUUGUUAGAUGCGAAGAAGAACCUUGUGUGUACAAAAGGUUAGUGGGUUAUAUUCUUAGUGUUGUAUGUUGAUGAUAUACUGCUCAUAGGGGAUGACAUACCCGCAUUGCAAAGUACCAAGAUUUGGCUGUCUGAACAGCUCUCCAUGAAAGACUUGGGAGAAUCAGCUUAUAUAUUAGGAAUAAAGAUCUAUAAAUAUAGAUCUAGGAAGCUUCUUGGACUUUCCUAGUCUUUGUACAUUGAUACAAUCUUAAAGAGGUAUAAUAUGGACAAUUCCAAAAGAGGCUAUCUACCGAUAGGCACUGAAAUUUCUCUCAGUAGGGAGGAUUGUCCUAAAACACCUUGAAGAGAGAGAACGCAUUAGUAGGAUCCCAUACGCUAGUGCAGUGGGAGCUAUCAUGUACACCAUGACAUGUACACGUCCUGAUGUGGCUUAUGCACUUGGAGUGCCUAGCCGAUAUCAAGCAAAUCCUGGCGAGGAGCAUUGGAAGGUGGUGAAGACCAUUCUUAAGUACUUAAGAAGGACUAAAGACCAAUUCCUCAUCUAUAAGGAUUUGAAACUUGAAGGUUAUACUGAUGCAAGUUUCUCUUCAGGUAGAGAUGAUAGCAAAUCUAUUUCUGGUUAUGCAUUCGCCUUAAAUGAUGGUGCGGUGAGUUGGAAACGUUCCAAACAAGCUACAGUAGUUGAUUCAGUGACAAAAGCAGAAUAUAUAGCAGCUAGUGAGGCUGCUAAGGAAGCUGUAUGGAUGAAAAAGUUCUUAACUGAACUUGGUGUGGUUCCUUCAAUAGAAGGUGCGGUUCCAUUAUUGUGUGACAAUACUGGAGGAAAAAGUUCUUAACUGAACUUGGUGUGGUUCCUACAAUAGAAGGUGUGGUUUCACUGUUGUGUGACAAUAGUGGAGCCAUUGCUCAAGCAAAAGAACCAAGAUCACUCAAAAAUCCAAACACGUUCUGCGAAGGUAUCACUUGAUAAGUGAGAUCACUAAACGUGAAGACGUCGAGAAUCAAAAGGUUGAUGGGAAGAAUAAUGUUGCAAACCCAUUCACUAAAUCACUUGGAGCAAAGGAGUUUGCCAAGCACAAGUGAAAAUUGGGAAUUAAGUGCAAGAGCUAUUGGCUCUAAUGCAAGUGGGAGAUUGUUAGAGAUAUAGUAAAUAUGCUCUAGAUCUAAUAUCAUAAUUGAUAAUUUAAACAUAGUUUUGUGAACGUUAUUUGAUAAAAAAAUAUAUGGAAUAUGAUAUUCUUUUAUCAUAGUUAUUAUUAAUUCUUUGAAUGAUUUGAUAAAGUUCUUGAUUAAAUUUUGAGACUUGACAUUGUGAUAGAGAUCAUGAUAAUGAGAGUAAAGUUUCGUAUAAUUUAAUCAAAAUUUGUUCUUGAUUGUAGGAUUAUUAAUUUGGAAAUUAGUAAUUCGAUUAGAUAAAUAUUUAUGUGAUUAUCUUUAUGGGAUAAAGAUUAGUUGAUGUCAUUAACUAAAUCACAUAGGUAGAUGAUGCAUAUAGAGAUAUGAUCAUUGAACCGACUCAUUGGAUUAGAUAAUUCCUAAUGGUUAGAAUUAUCAUAAACUGUCAAUAGGAUAUUUUCUUAAAAAAUGUGAUGUAAGAAUUUCUUUUGACCUGAGAUCGUCAUAGUAAUUGACAAGUUAUUUAUUGUACUUUAUUACUAGGUACAUAUGGCCCUAGGGUGAUAGUUGAAAGGAUAUUGGGUACGAUUGAAUACUUGUAGAAUUAGUGAUUGAUAAAGAUGGAAUUUGUCAACCUUGGUAAUGAGUUUAAGCUCUAUGUUGUCAUGAAUAUAAACGAUAUCAGGAAAAUUGAAUGAAAGAAGAAACAAAUUUCUUAGGUCAUUCAAUGGUCGAUUAUACUUGACAUGAACAUAUAGUUGGUCGCCUAUUAGUAUUUGACAGUUGAACCAUAUCCUAGGAUGAUCCAAAGCUAUAAGGACAGAAGGAAUUAGUACAUUAUUCUUCUACUUGUUCUUGAGAGUAAAUUGUAUUCUUCAUGUUAUCCGGUAGUUAAGGAGUGUUGCUAGACGCCACCCUUGAUUAGUAUAUUGAUGUGAUCAAUUUACUACCGAUUUAGUAUUGAACCUAUAGGGUGGUGCGCUUACGAGUGUUCUGAUCUUUAGCUUAUUUUUUGAUAAUUAGAUUAAUGAAUUUAAUUAGUCAAAUAAAUUUAGUUAUUAGUCCAAACGAAAUAUUAUUAUAUUUUUUGCUAACACAGUGGGUAUGAUUAAUAUUGUGAACAAAUUGAACUUUUUUAUUUGAAAUAGUACAUUAAAUUAUAUCUCUUGGUUGAAAUAAAAAAAAAUUCAUAAUAAAUAUAUUAUUAUUUGUAUAAGUAAUGUAUAUAAAAUAUUAAUUAAUAUUGAAGUCUAAUUUGGAAUUGGAAAGCAACAGUAACGUGAUAACCAAUUUUGGAAUGGUUUGUUUUUUUCCUAUAGAAAUAUCAAUAAGGACCUAUUUGUUAAAUCCAACUUAGAAUUGGAUUAACAGAAAAAUCCAUAAUUCACGUAGGACUUUAAGUCCAUGUAGAAGUCGGGGCAGACUCAAACCCAUUAAGAAUGGUUUGUCGAUUCCGCAUUCUGCCUUAAAAUUUUCCAUAAAAGUUUAAUUUUGGAAUUAGAUUUUUACCCAAUAAAUUAUUAUCUCAACUAAAUAUAAAUAAGGUUUAUAGGUAAUGCUAUAUAAAGAGCGAAGGAACAAAAAUUACAUAAUUUUUUUGAGAAGAAAACACACUUUGUAAAAGUGAGAUUAUAAUACAAAGCCAAGAGAGAAAAUACAAUUACAAAAAAAAGUGAUUCUUGUUCUUCUAAUUUGAGUUGAAAUUUUUCAAAAAUUUCAGCAUAAUUUUCUCGUUCAAUUUGUUCGCGGGUUUCAUUGAUCAAAGAGUUGAUAACAAGAAUCGGUCUCGGUGUGGAUAUGCAUAGAGUCUUUGCACUAUCAACGAAAUUUUGAAAGAGACUCUCUUUCCCAGGUACGUCUUAGAUCCGAUCUUUGACAUGUAAAUAAAUUUUAAACACAAAAAAUCUUCCUAGGAUUGUUAGUGUGUUACAAACACCUAUACACAAUCCUACGCUUGUACCAUAAGAAUUUAGAAAAUAAUCAGGGAAAAUGAUACCGUAUUGGUACUCUUAAAAUAAUAUUCGAAUAUAUGUAUGUGUGUGUGUGUGUAUAUAUAUAUAUAUAUAUAUAUAUAUAUAUAUAUAUAUAUAUAUAUAUAUGUAUAUUUCUAUAAUUCUAUAUAUUUUAUACAAACAAUAUAUAACUUUUAUAUACUUUUUCAGCUGAAAAAUAUAAAUAGUUUCGAUCGAGAGCUAAAAGCCUGAAAGUGAUCUUUAACAUAUUUAUCUCACAUUUGAACUCCGUCACACUAAGAAACUUCUAAAGAUAGUUUAAACAAUUAUUAUUAUUAUUAUUAUUAUUAUUAUUAUUAUUAUUAUUAUUAUUAUUAUUAUUAGUAUUUUUGUCAUUUAAGUAUUUGAUAAAUGUCAGAAGUGCUUAAGUCAAAAUUAUGAAGAUAUUUCAGCUUAUCAACACCUUCGGUUUGACUAGACCUUUUACUAUGUUAUUAUUAAUAUUUGUUAUCGACUCUGAAAUCGCAAAACAAAACUCCUAACAUUCUUUCCAUCCUAUUUUCCCUAUUCAACUAUUUUAAUGUAAUUAUUUUAAAUCUAUACCUUUAAAAUAAUUUAAGUGCAUUUCGAGUCUAGUGUGAUUUACAACAUUACUAUCUUACUCUCUCAUCAUUUCUACAAACUUCCAUUUGUUUCAUUCAACUAGUCGACAUAAAAUGGUAAAGAAAUUGCUGUUCGUGUUAUUCAAAGAGUCAAAAACUUAUUGGAUGCGUUAGACCCUACUGCUGCUAGAAAUUCAGAUAAAAAUAGACUUCGGUCGGUCGAAAAUCAACUUAAAAAUCGAUCCAAGUCAAACGAUUUUUUAACAUGUUUUCUUUUUUAAUUUUUUUAAGAACCAAAAUGAGAAAAAUCAUUUCUUCGUCCUGAAAAGUUUAUUUCUCAAGAAACCAAUCAACUUCGUUUGAUUUUUUAUUUGAAAUAAAUUAAAAUUUAUUGUGACGAUCCGACCAUUCGUUUCAUGAGUUUCCUCAUUUCUGCUUCUUAUUGUUUUGUCUAUCGAUUCUAUAUGUGAUCGGGUUGGUUGGCUUGGGUUCGGAAAGGAUUUGUUAAGGUUUGAGACACUUAGUCUCUUUUGAGGAAGUUUAAGUUGAAAAACUCAACCGGAUGUUGACUUAUGUAUUAGAGGGAUCGGAUGUGAGUUCCAAUGGUUCAGAGAGCUCUGGGAGGUGAUUUGGGACUUAGAUCAACCAGAUGUUAACUUAUGUGUUAGAGGGAUCGAAUGUGAGUCCGAUGAUUCGGAUAGCUUUGGGAGGUGAUUUGAGAUUUAGAGGUGUGAUAGGAAUAUGUUUUGGUGGUCUAGAGUAGAUUAGGCUUGAAUUGGCGUAAUUGGAUUUUUGGCGUUUUCCGGCUGUUAGGUGAGAUUUUUAUAUAGGGAUCGGAAUGGAAUUCCGAGAGUUACAGUAGUUCCGUUACGUCAUUUGGGAUGUGUGUAUAAAAUUUUAGGUCAUUCGGAUAUGGUUUGAUUGGCUUUUUUAUCAAAAACGUAAUUCGGAAGAUUUUUAAAAACUUAGGCUUGAAUAUGAUGAGUUUUGGUUGAUUCGAUGUUGUUUGAGGUUUUCUGAAGAUUGAUAUAAGUUUGAAUAAGGUUAUGGGAUAUGUUUGUGUUUUUGGUUGAGGUCCCCGGGGCCUCGGGGUGAUUUCGGAUGGUUGACGGAGAAGAUUGAAAUUUUGGUGAAGUUGUAGAUAUUUUGCUUCUGGUGUUUCCGCACCUGCGCAGUGGGGACCACAGAAGCGAUGCCGUAGAAGCGAAAGAAGGUAAGGGAGGCAGAAACUGCAGAAGCGGUUGGAGAACCGCAUUGCGCAGGUGCGAAUGGUGAAUCGCAGAUGCGAAAAUGAGGACUUAAGUAAGGACCGGAGAAGCGGUUGGUUUACCGCAAAUGGGGUACCGUAGAAGCGGGAUUUUUGCCGCAGAUGCGCAAUCCCUAGGUCAGAAGGUAUAAAUUGUUUCCUUCGCGAUUUUUGAGCUAUUCCACCAUUUCUAAGUUGGCUUUGGAGAUUUUUGGACGAUUGUGAAGAAUGAUUUCAAGGAAACGUCAUUGAGGCAAGAAUUUUGGACCUAAAACUCAUUCAUAUGGUAUUAUUUAAUGGUUUAAAGCUAUAAUUAAUGGAAUUUAAGGGUUAAAAUUGGGGAAACUAGGGCUUGGUAUUGUAGACUUAGACUUAAGUAUUUAAGGAACCAUUUGUUGUUGGAUUUUGGUAUUUUUGAUACGUGUGAACUCAUGAGGAGAUAAGGAAUCUAAUUAUGUGAAUUUUAUCGAAUUCCAACACGUGGACCCGGGGGUUAGGUUUUGGUAAUUUCGGAAUUUGUGUUGUAAAUUGAUUAUUUUCGCUUGGGCUUCGUUUCCUUAGCAUAUUUUAACAUUGUGAUUCUGAUUUUGGAUAGAUUCGACGUGAGUGGAGGCCGAUUCGAGCGGCAAAGGUAUCGCGGGUUAGAGUUUGGAUCGGAUUGAGGUGAGUAAUGAUUUUAAAUGAUAUCCUGGGGGUAUGAAACCCUAGAUUUCACCUCGUUGUGCUAUAUUGAGGUGACGCACAUGCUAGAUGACGAGUGUGAGGUCGUGCACUGUUGGGGAUUGUGACUUAGUCCAUCCCAAAUGACUAUUUUACCGCGUACUUGACUGAAAACUAUUUUCUAUCAUCAUGUUUUGAGCUGAAUGCCAUAUGUGGCCCUCGUGCCAACUAUUUGAACCCUUAGCAGAAUUUUAUUGAUAUCUCUUCACUGUUUUGACUUUAUACUUGAACUCAAUCAUGCAGUAUUCUACUGCUUUUCACAACUCACCCAUGCUUACUCUUCUUUAAAACUUAAAUGAUAUUUUUGGUUGAGCACUAUAUUUUACUGUUGUCCGAGUGGCUGUGAAAUUCUGACUGAGUAAGGACGAGAGCCUGAGAUGUGUAUGCCACGAGGUGGCUUGUUGAUAUAAGGUCGAGGGCCUAGUUUGAUGCAACGAGAUGGCUUGAUAUUUCUCUUGGGCCAUGAGGGGCUCCUUCAGGAGUCUACACACCCUCAGUGAGUGUGGGUACCUAUUGUGAUGUGUGAUAUAGUCCAAGGGGCUAGUAUUGUUUCUAAGAUAUUUCCCGAGGGGGGGGGGGGUUGUGUACAUUGUGCCCGAAAGGCGAACCUUUAUCUAUAUAUCUUUACUACUUCACUAUUUUACUGGCUUUUACUGCUUCGUUAUAGCCUAUAAUGUGCCUAACGUGAUUUCAUAUUUCUCAGUCUUUAUUUAUAAUUAUUACUCACUGGGUUGGAGCACUCACUUUACUCCCUGCACCCCGUGUGCAGAUUCAGGCGUUGCUGAUCCCCUACGAGAGUUGAGAGCUCCUUGCAGACUUUGGAGUUCAUGAGGUAGCUGCUUGGCGUCCGCAGUGUUUCUCCCCUUUAUCUCAUUUCUUGUUCCUUAGUAGUUACUUUGUAAUAGCUUGUAGACUUUUCAGACUUGUAUUAAAAUUAAUAGAUGCUCAUGACUAGUGACACCCGGGUAUUGAGUUGUGUUGGGUUUUAUUUGUGCAAACUUUAAUGUUCAUUGCUUACUUUUGGAUUAUUUAUUAUAUUUUAGACUUAACUCUUAUUGUUUAAUUGUUUAAAAACUGAAAAUGGGAACGUAUUGACUGGUCAUGUCUUUACGAGAGGAGCCAUCACGAUCGGAUCCGUGUUUAGGGUUAUGACAAGUUGGUAUCAGAACCAAGGUUACAUAGGUCUCACGAGUCAUGAGCAAGUAUAGUAAAGUCUCGGGCACUGGUACGAAGACGUCUGUAUUUAUCCUCGAGAGGCUGUAGAACCUUUAGGAAAAACUUCAUAUUCUUGAAAUUUUUAUCGUGCGAAUUUGUCGAUUCGAGUACUAAACUUCUGUUAUUCUAUCUCUCAUAGAUGGUGAAGAUACGCGCGACCAGUAAGGAUAGACGUCCACUAAUACUACCAGUUGUGGCCACUAAAGGCCGAGGACGCGGUCGUGGUCGCGGUAGGGGCAGAGGUAUGGCCUGCAUAGCAGCUAAAGCAGCACCUGCAGGUCCACCAGCCGCCCCAGUUCAGGAUGAGGUCCCAGGUAUGGACGCUCCAGCACCACCAGCUAUGCAAUGGUGAUCCUGGGUCUUCACGAGGCCUUCGCUCAGAUCCUGUCAGUUUACACUAGCUUAGCUCAGGCGGUCUCAGCUACUACAGUCGCAACUACUUCUCAGGCCGGGGGAGGCAAUCAGACUCUCAUUGCUCGCACACCUGAGAAGGUCGUGCAGGGACUUCAGACGAUGGGGGCAUAUCCAGCCAGCCAGUUGUAGCUAUUCAGGACUCUGUAGGUUCUUCCAUGCAAGAGCAUGAGCAGCGUAGGUUGGAGAUAUUUGGUAGACUUCAACCUCUGACCUUUAGUGGUGCAGAUGACGAGGAUGCCUAGGGUUUCUUGGAUAAGUGUCAGAGGAUACUUCGAACAGCGGGUACUCUGCUAACCAGUAGGGUCUCUUUCAUUACUUAUCAGUUUUAUAUAGUUGCCUUCACUUGGUGGGAGUCUUUUGAGAGGUGUAGGCCUGUUGGUGCAGCACCCCUUAACUGGCAGCAAUUCUCCGUUCUUUUCUUGGAGAAGUAUGUGUCGCAAUCUCGCAAAGAGGAACUGCAUAGGCAGUUUGAGUGGUUGCGUCAGGGAGAGAUGAUUGUGACGCAAUAUGAGAUGAUGUUCUCUAAGUUAGCUCGUCAUGAUAUUUGGUUGGUUCCGACAGAUAGAGAAAGAAUUAGGAGGUUUGUUGAGGAUUAGGAUGUUUGUUGAUGACCUCCUUGCACGUUCAUCACUUUGUAUGUGCAUCAUCUCAUUAAUAAUCACAUAACACGUAGUUCGGAAUUUUGAACCCUCAAAACUAAGUUUCAAAGUGUUACUUACCUCAAACCAGCAAACUCCUAUUCUGUAAUGUUUUUGCCUCUCAACUCAACCUCCGAACGUCCUGAAUCUAGCCACAAGCAAUACAAUACGAUUAAUAUAUAUUAAAUAAAUUAAUUCCAUAAGAAAAAUAUCAAAUUCAUAGCCAAAAUCAAAAAUCGGCUCAAAUCCAACCCUCGAACUUACGUCUCAAAAUUCAACAAAAAUUACAAAAUCUAAAAAUCCAUUCACUAUGAAAAGAUCAUUUUGAUGAAAUCGAAAGAGAGAAAGAUGAUACGAAGUACGGUCAUUAUAAGUUCAAGUAUAG